rnacentral:rRNA from 1 species
CUACCUGAUUCAGCGGCGGACGGGUGAGUAAUGCCUAGGAAUCUGCCCGAUAGUGGGAGACAACGUUUCGAAAGGAACGCUAAUACCGCAUACGUCCUACGGGAGAAAGUGGGGGAUCUUCGGACCUCACGCUAUCGGAUGAGCCUAGGUCGGAUUAGCUAGUUGGUGAGGUAAUGGCUCACCAAGGCGACGAUCCGUAACUGGUCUGAGAGGAUGAUCAGUCACACUGGAACUGAGACACGGUCCAGACUCCUACGGGAGGCAGCAGUGGGGAAUAUUGGACAAUGGGCGAAAGCCUGAUCCAGCCAUGCCGCGUGUGUGAAGAAGGUCUUCGGAUUGUAAAGCACUUUAAGUUGGGAGGAAGGGCAGUAAGCUAAUACCUUGCUGUUUUGACGUUACCAACAGAAUAAGCACCGGCUAACUCUGUGCCAGCAGCCGCGGUAAUACAGAGGGUGCAAGCGUUAAUCGGAAUUACUGGGCGUAAAGCGCGCGUAGGUGGUUCAGCAAGUUGGAUGUGAAAUCCCCGGGCUCAACCUGGGAACUGCAUCCAAAACUACUGAGCUAGAGUACGGUAGAGGGUGGUGGAAUUUCCUGUGUAGC